CCCGUCUGCUCGAUUUCCCGCCUGCCGCUGAGCUGGUCCCCAGCGUCUCGGCUCCCCGCGGCAGGCUUUCCUCGCUGUUUGUUUUCAGCUCCAGAUCGUCACUCGGAGGGACCGAGCUGUAGCUGUUACAGUCUGUUUGCUCAAAGUCUGCAGCAUCUUAACUGAGCCUAGCGACAGAUCAGCUGGGAACCACUCUCACUAGCGGUUCCUCCGAGGCAAAGAGGAGGAAGAAACCCCACUCCGUAAAUGCCAGGAAGAAAAUGCAGAAUACAGGCGACGGAGAAGAGAAAGCCUCUGACAACCUACGGCCAAGCAUCAGCCAUCAGUUUUCGGCUUGCGUAACUCCCCAAGCCGGCUCCUGGCAGGCCGGGUGAGUCAGGGGCAGCGCAGGCCCCAGCUCCCUGCUUUGCAUCCCUGGGAACAGCCACCGAAACCCCCUUCAAUCAAGUCUUACAAAGUCAGAGCCCCCAUAACUAAUUUACAUGGUCCCAUGGAGGUUGCUGAGUGUUCCUGUGGCAGCAGAAAAUGAAUAAUUCGGAAUAAAGGUACUUUGGAAGAGCCCCUA